UUCAAUGUUUAUAGAUCUCUCUCGCCUGCUACAGUAUGUUACUGUCUUAUUUUCAGUUAUCUUUCAGUUCCCAGCCAGUGCUUACUUAGUUCUUUUUCAAAUUAAGAGGAAAGGUAGUCUUAUUGCUCAGUAUUUUGGUUCUUCUCCUUGAUUCAGUUGUGUUGUGCUUGCUUAGCUCCCUAGAGCAUACAAUCCCAGAAUUCUCCCUCUCUAAGAGGAUCAAGCUGCCAGAACGAUUGAGUACUUGAGUGUAUGAGUACAUAAUAACACAUGUGGUAAUAAUAACACAUGGCCAGGAAGUGUAUGAGUACAUAAUAACCACAUUGGUGAUGGACUUCUGUUCCUUCUCAAGAAUGAGCCAAUGAACAAGGAGGUUGAGCUUAAAGAAUGUUUCCUUCAUUGUAAUGUAUGAACGGAAUUUGAAGACAGUUUCCUGGGUGACCAUGAUGCCGACGAACAUGCAUGACAAAUGCCCGAUUCUGUUAAAGAACCAUGAUGUAAAAGUAGGUGUCACAAGGAUUGCACUUUGUUGAUGUGGAACAGCGAUACAAAUACAAACAGACGACGUGGCCUGAUCAUCUGAUCUGCAUUGUAGGUGCAGGGUGUGUUCAGAAAAUUCGCUCCAAGUCUUCUCCGAUGUUAACUGCAGAUAUUUAGUACCUUCAAAACAACAGUCAACGAAGUACAAACAUGCUUUUGUGCAUUAGAUCCUCUGAUGUUGACUGCAGAUAUUU